rnacentral:snRNA from 11 species
UUACUUACCUGGUAGUGGAAAUACCAUGAUUACAAAGUGGCCCUUCUAGAGCAAGUCUUAUCCAUUGCACUCCAGAUGUGCUGAGCUGACCCCUGCAAUAUCCCCAAAUGCAGGAAACUUGGCUGCAGAAAAGAAAAGAAAAAGAUCUCUUACUAUUCUUGA